AUGUUUGCUAUGUUUGCAUCUUGUUUACAUAUCCCUAAUGACAGCCUCCCUAAGUUUGUUUCAUUUAAAAUGGUUUGCCUCACUAAUUAUUCAGUGGUUCUUGAUUUUACAGUCAUAUAUCGACCACCAUUGGGUAAGCUCAUCAAGGUUUAUCUUGGUUGCAGUUUGCAUAAGCUAGGUUUGGAUUACACUGACCUUUGCUAG
rnacentral:rRNA from 1 species